rnacentral:lncRNA from 1 species
AGGCAGUUGGUCACCUGCUCACCACCUUCAAGGUCUUCCCAUAACUGCCACCAGGGGGCGGCAGCAGCUCGCUCAGUAGGCUUCUGUAAACGAGCUUCCCCAAAAGGCUCCGUGCCCUCCCGCGGAUGUCUUACCUCGGUCCCUGACCUGUUUGUUCCCUGGGCCCAGCCCGCGGACUCCCUGGACCCGUCAGCCGUGCCUAAGGCCCCCAGCCGGCCUGCUACCCUGCCCUGCACAGGUUUCCAAAAUGCCGCCGCCUCACGGCCGAGGUCCUCCGCAGUUCCCAAGGCCGGUCCGGGAGCGGCGAGCCGGGCCUCCGCAGUGGGUUCCAGGUUCCCGGGCUCACCGUGCGCUCGCCCUUCGUCCAGCUGCGGGCCGCUUCGCGCCCCGCGAUGCGCCCUCCCCGCUAGCUCUUCGGGAACGGCCUGGCACCAAAGCGUGGACGCACCCACACCCGAGUGCCCCUCAGGGCGCUGCAGGCCCGGCUCGGGAGGGGCGCCGCAUCUGUAUGCGCCCGGCGGCCAGCAGCGCCGAGGGGGCGGGCACCAGGCGCCGCCCCCGCCCUCGCCGCGCGGCCCGGGCUGGCCGGGGAGGGUCGGAGGCUGGGCUCUCCUCUCCCGCGCGGCGCGGAGCCGCCUCGCUCCUCCGCAGGCGGAGCCUCCUUCCCCCGCCCCCUCCGUCUCGCUCCCUUGUUCUCGCCGGGGCCGCUCAGACCUGCAGCGGAGCCGCGGCGCCCGCUCCGAUCGGCUCGGGGCUGCGCCCCCGGGACCCGGCGACGGGGGCGGGCGGGAGCGCUCCCCGCCAAGCUGGGUCCCUAGGCACUGCCAGGUAAGGGCGUCUGCCCUGGAGCCCACGGUCGGGAAUCCGCGAAGGGGCAGCAGGGGGCCCGCAGCCUGCGGGUGUCUUCAGAGCGGUGAGCGGUGCGCUCCGCGGCUGGGAGCCACUGCCGGCUCCCUUCUCCCGCGCUCUACCGCUUUCCCUUCUUCCCUCGUACCUCUUUUCCUCUUUUUCCCAUUUUCCUCUCCCUCGAUUUCUCUUCAUCCUGCCUCCUCUUCUGCCUGUUUGCUUUUUGUGCCCCUUCCCUGUCUCCCCAACCCUUCUCUCUCCCUCUUGUCUUGCUCCAUCUCCUCUUCCUCUUUGCCUUUUUCUUCCUUCACCUUUCUCUCCUUUCCUGUCUUCCUUUUCCCGCUUUCCUUUCUCUCCCCGAUCCUUCCCUCUCCCCUCCUCUCCUCUUCCCUUCCCGCUAUCCUGUUUCCCACUCCUCUAUCCCCUGCCUUCUCUUCGUCCCGCCUCCCUCCCAGGUCCCCGGCUUCCCUCCGGCUUCCCUCUUCCCUCGGGAAGGAAAGGACUGUCAGGUGUGUGUCUGCUCUGGGGGAGGAGGGGCGCAGCCACAGCCACUUGAGGGGUCCCCCCAGGAGGAGAAGGGGGAGACAGCGGUGGGAAGGGUCCUCUCUCUACCUUCCUUCCCUCAUCCCCUCCCAGCUGCCCCCUCUCCCAGAAUGA